rnacentral:rRNA from 1 species
GACGAACGCUGGCGGCGUGCUUAACACAUGCAAGUCGAACGCUGAAGCCUAGCUUGCUGGGUGGAUGAGUGGCGAACGGGUGAGUAACACGUGAGUAACCUGCCCUCUUCUUUGGGAUAACGCCCGGAAACGGGUGCUAAUACUGGAUAUUCACUGAUCUUCGCAUGGGGGUUGGUGGAAAGGUUUUUUCUGGUGGGGGAUGGGCUCGCGGCCUAUCAGCUUGUUGGUGGGGUGAUGGUCUACCAAGGCUUUGACGGGUAGCCGGCCUGAGAGGGUGACCGGUCACAUUGGGACUGAGAUACGGCCCAGACUCCUACGGGAGGCAGCAGUGGGGAAUAUUGCACAAUGGGCGAAAGCCUGAUGCANCGACGCCGCGUGAGGGAUGGAGGCCUUCGGGUUGUAAACCUCUUUCGCUCAUGGUCAAGCCGCAACUUAGGGUUGUGGUGAGGGUAGUGGGUAAAGAAGCGCCGGCUAACUACGUGCCCNCAGCCGCGGUAAUACGUANGGCGCGAGCGUUUGUCCNGAAUUAUUGNGCGUAAAGGNCU